UACGGAGGGGGCUAGCGUUGUUCGGAAUUACUGGGCGUAAAGGGUGCGUAGGCGGCUGUCCAAGUCGGGUGUGAAAGCCCCGGGCUCAACCCGGGAUGUGCAUCCGAGACUGAAUGGCUUGAGUUCGGGAGAGGUGAGUGGAAUUCCCAGUGUAGAGGUGAAAUUCGUAGAUAUUGGGAAGAACACCGGUGGCGAAGGCGGCUCACUGGACCGACACUGACGCUGAGGCACGAAAGCGUGGGGAGCAAACAGG
rnacentral:ncRNA from 3 species